GACGAACGCUGGCGGCGUGCUUAACACAUGCAAGUCGAACGGAAAGGCCCUGCUUUUGUGGGGUGCUCGAGUGGCGAACGGGUGAGUAACACGUGAGUAACCUGCCCUUGACUUUGGGAUAACUUCAGGAAACUGGGGCUAAUACCGGAUAGGAGCUCCUGCUGCAUGGUGGGGGUUGGAAAGUUUCGGCGGUUGGGGAUGGACUCGCGGCUUAUCCGCUUGUUGGUGAGGUAGUGGCUUACCAAGGCUUUGACGGGUAGCCGGCCUGAGAGGGGUACCGGCCACAUUGGGACUGAGAGACGGCCCAGACUCCUACGGGAGGCAGCAGUGGGGAAUAUGGCACAAUGGGCGGAAGCCUGAUGCAGCAACGCCGCGUGCGGGAUGACGGCCUUCGGGGGGUAAACCGCUUUCGCCUGUGACGAAGCGGGAGUGACGGUAAUGGGUAAAGAAGCACCGGCUAACUACGUG
rnacentral:rRNA from 1 species